UUUCCAUCCUCACAAGCCAAGUAUUGAGACCAAAAAAAGAGAUAUCGAGAAAGAACCAUCCAGAAUGAAUCAGUGUUUUGGGGCAAGGCAGGCAGCUGCUCCAGGGUCAGCCUAUCAAUGUCCCCAGUAACUGACAAGAGCAGGCACAAGGAGCAGGUGCAGUUCAGCUCCCCAGGUCUCCUUUCUUCUAAGCCCCUUCUCCUCAUCUCCUGUGCUGGCCUCCUCUGCCCCUCCAGCCUUUUAAUCCUGACUCUCUUACACUUGGCUUCCCACCAAACUCACUGUGGCCUUGACUUUCUGCUUGCACUAGCUGGCUCAAUCCAUAAAGGAAAUAAGAAAGCAA
rnacentral:lncRNA from 1 species